CGGCUGUAGCAACAUCCAACGCCUCAGAAGUUAACUGGCCGGUUAUUGUCAAACCUCCGUCGACAAAUCUGCUUACCGAACUUCUUACAUUC